rnacentral:rRNA from 1 species
UACGGAGGGUGCGAGCGUUAAUCGGAAUUACUGGGCGUAAAGGGUGAGUAGGUGGUUUAAUAAGUUAUGUGUGAAAGACCUGGGCUCAACCUGGGGUAGUCAGAUAAGACUGUUAGACUGGAGUAUAGGAGAGGGUAGUGGAAUUUCCGGUGUAGCGGUGAAAUGCGUAGAGAUCGGAAGGAACACCGGUGGCGAAGGCGGCUACCUGGCCUAAUACUGACACUGAGUCACGAAAGCGUGGGGAGCAAACAGG